rnacentral:lncRNA from 1 species
GGAGACUAUAUCCCUGAAUAAGUGCCAGGCACUGGCUCUGAACUAGCUAAAUGCUUUGCAUGUGUUAUUUCAUUAAAUCCUCACAAUAAUCCUAUGGAGUCGGUAAUUUUAUGAUUUCCAUUUUACAGGUGAGGAGACUGAGGCAGAAAGAGGUUGAAUGAUGUGUCCAAGGGAACAGAAGUCAUGAGUAGCAGAGCUGGGCUUGCUAAACCUCGUGUGGUCUUCAAGCUCAGAGAGCUGAGGUCUGAGUUUCCCUCCCGACUGCUGGGGCAAGUGCUCGCUACCAGGCCAGCUGAUUGCACAGGGCCCCUGGAUGCAUUUCUAAAGGGUCAUAUUUACAGUGUCGGAUGGUUGGGCACUGCGGAGCUUAAUGGGAUUCUUAAUAAAGGCAGCCUUCAUUAAGACGGGAGUACAGGCAAGGUGCCCUUGCGUUUGAGGAAAGGACGACCCAGUGCAAGACGGAUGCUCCCCCUUGGCUUGGAAAUCACGCGGGUCAAGUGCCUUGUCAUGCAUUAACAGCCUUUUAAGUUCCUAGGCAGAUUAAGAGGAGCGGUGUAGAUAAAUGAAAAAGAGGAAUCAUGUGAUCUGUCUUGGUAGCAUAAACAUUGAGACACAGCAGCUGCAUUUAAACACAGCAAUUUGCUAAACGAGUGGUUGGCGACUUUCCAGAUGGCCAAUGUGACACAGGGCUUGGAUGAAUCCUUUAUUCAAUCAUGCAUCUGUCUAGACAGAGACAUUGAAGGCCAGGUUAUAGCCACUGCAGGAGUGGCAGCAGCAGCAGCAGCAGCUUUGAAAGCCUUAUAUAAAACAUGCUCGGUAUUGCCCGUGAGGCAGCUUGGCCACAGAUCAGCUGGAGAGGGUGCG